UCGAAGGGAGCAGAGCCGGCUGCCGAGAUGUUCUGCAGGAUCUCCCGGCUAGGGAUGCGGCUCCUGCGCGAGGGUAGGGCCGAGACGAGAGCUGGAAACUUGCUCAGCAGUCGAGGCAGUUUGUAUCAAGAGUAACGUCCUCUUUUCAACUGCAACAAGUGCUGAUAAGGAUGAAAGCAAUCAGAAGGAGAAGUAAGCGCAUUUAUCCCUUUAGUUUCAUCCUUUUGUGUAUCUUGAAAUUAGAGCACCUAGUCAUGUUUGUCUCUUGGAAUCUAAUGCUUAGUGCCUUAGUCCAUACCUUUCUCUGAAAUUCCUUUGUUGACAUUGUCUACAUCAUCCGUUACAGUCUUCAAGUGUUGUGAACAAGUAUUGCCACUAUCAAAUGCACAUGCUUUAUCUUCAGUGAGUGAGAUUACUGUCAGAUAGUGUUCUUGAACAUUGAUAUAUUUUAGAUCUAUACUUGUAACAUGAUUACAA